rnacentral:rRNA from 1 species
ACGGGAGGCAGCAGUGAGGAAUAUUGGUCAAUGGUCGAGAGACUGAACCAGCCAAGUAGCGUGAGGGAUGACUGCCCUAUGGGUUGUAAACCUCUUUUGUUGGGGAAUAAAGUGAGCUACGUGUAGCUCAUUGCAUGUACCCAUCGAAUAAGCAUCGGCUAAUUCCGUGCCAGCAGCCGCGGUAAUACGGAAGAUGCGAGCGUUAUCCGGAUUUAUUGGGUUUAAAGGGAGCGUAGGCGGUCUGUUAAGUCAGCGGUUAAAUGUCAGUGCCCAACAUUGUCAUGCCGUUGAUACUGGCGGACUUGAAUACACACAAGGAAGGUGGAAUUCGUCGUGUAGCGGUGAAAUGCUUAGAUAUGACGAAGAACUCCGAUUGCGAAGGCAGCCUUCUGGGGUGCGAUUGACGCUGAGGCUCGAAAGCGCGGGUAUCAAACAGGAUUAGAUACCCUGGUA